AAGGUGGAGGGUGAUCUGUUUUCUGUACCGCUGUUGUAGGUGCACUCAUAAUGCUGGUACGGAAAGAAUUCCAAGAUUUUGACACAGCAACAAUGAAGAUAUAAUAACCUAUUUCCAAGUCAGGAUGGAGGGUCACUCUACGCAGGCCACCUAUUCUGAGGACUUCACAGAACUACUCCAAAUGCAAAAAAAGAAUGCAAAGGAUGAUAGACCUUUGGAGACUGCUGAGCACAGUGCUGGGGUGCAUCAUGUCAUCGAGUCAGGCAACACCGUUUUGAUUUGAACUGGAGGUGCAGCUAUUAGUCUCGGAAGGCCUAAGGAAUCACCCGAUCGUUGUGAUUUCCCUGGAUAGUUAAUGAUGUCCUCUUAUGAAGUGCUUGAAUGACGUCAAUGGAUUGCAGACUGUGGAGGGCAAAGUACACAUCGUUACUUACCAGUUGGCUCUGUUACCUCCAAAUGAUAAGCACAUUCUCAAAGUCCUGGUAUCCUACAGACUGGAGUCAAAUUGAUCUCAUUUCCUUAAUCAGAGGGGCUAUUUUACCUCACCAUGUUACCCAUAACUUCAUAGGCUGGAGAUUCAUGCUUUUUGGAUAAAGUUUCCAAUUGAAUAAGACAGUUACACUGACCCCUGUAUCAAAUGUAACUGAGAUGUUCAUUAAUCUUAAAAACCGCUCAGGCAGAGGAGCAUAAGUAGGCCAUUCAGUCCAUCGAGCCUGCUCUGUCACUGAAUGAAAUCAUGAUUGAUCUGAAAAUCCCCAACUCCACUUUCCUGCCUUUUCCCUGUUGCCUCCAAUUCUCUUACUCAUUAAAAAUC